UCCACUGUUGCUUUUUUCAUACGUACGUAUACGCACGUAAAACUUUAAAUCCGUUUAAUUAAAUGUUACUUACGAAAUAACCAAAUAAAUAAAGCAACAGAAUUUAGUGUUCCGCAAGUUUUAGUAUGCAUUUGUUAACUUAUUUGUAAAAUAUCUAAAAAAUAGAAGGAUUCAAAGUUUUACGUGCGUGUACGUGCGUACGAAAAACGCAACAGUGGA
rnacentral:miRNA from 1 species